rnacentral:rRNA from 1 species
AUUGAACGCUGGCGGCAGGCCUAACACAUGCAAGUCGAACGGUAACAGGAAGAAGCUUGCUUCUUUGCUGACGAGUGGCGGACGGGUGAGUAAUGUCUGGGAAACUGCCUGAUGGAGGGGGAUAACUACUGGAAACGGUAGCUAAUACCGCAUAAUGUCGCAAGACCAAAGAGGGGGACCUUCGGGCCUCUUGCCAUCGGAUGUGCCCAGAUGGGAUUAGCUAGUAGGUGGGGUAACGGCUCACCUAGGCGACGAUCCCUAGCUGGUCUGAGAGGAUGACCAGCCACACUGGAACUGAGACACGGUCCAGACUCCUACGGGAGGCAGCAGUGGGGAAUAUUGCACAGUGGGCGCAAGCCUGAUGCAGCUAUGCCGCGUGUAUGAAGAAGGCCUUCGGGUUGUAAAGUACUUUCAGCGGGGAGGAAGGGAGUAAAGUUAAUACCUUUGCUCAUUGACGUUACCCGCAGAAGAAGCACCGGCUAACUCCGUG